GGUUUCAGCCAUACCACCAUGAUCUAUAUUUCCACCAGAACCUCAGGGAUAAGCCUGCUCAGUAGCUAAAUGGGAGACCCCCAGGGAAAUCCAGGAUGUUGCAGGAA
ensembl:rRNA 5S_rRNA 5S ribosomal RNA